UAAGUCAGCCACGAAUAGGCUAUCCCAACUAACGGCGGGAAAGACUCCACGGAGGGUGUAAGACCCGUGUGGGCGCGUGUUAAAGCUGUGUGGGCUCGGCCUCUAUUCCCUGAGAGUCGCGUUGCUUGAGCAUGCAGCGCUAAGCAGGUCGUAAACUCGAUCUAAGGCUAAAUAUGUCCACAGAACCGAUAGCGAACAAGUACCGUGAGGGAAAGUUGAAAAGCACUCUGGAGAGAGAGUCAAAAGACCGUGAAACCGCUCAGAGUAUAAGCCCAUGGCAGCUUGGAAGGCAUAUCGCUAGCGGGGCAUCGGUCUCCCUUCGCGGGGAGCUGGUGUUACCUUGCUUCUGUUGUGGCUCGUUAUGGUAGGGGGGUCAAGUCCACAUCCCGCCGUCGUGUGGGGGGUUCUCGGGUGUGUUGUGGUUUCUUUGUUGGCUUCGGCUGGCAGAGGGGCUCUUCGUGCUCGGUUCCUCUUUAGACACGGACGUUCAGACUCAGAGGCAAGACGCGAUAAACAGCCCACCACGGCACGUUGUGAGGUCACCCACAGGCUCGACUUUCGAUCGUGAGCCUUGACGCCGAGCAAGCACAAUGCGUGUCGCUGAGGUUCCUAACCAGGCAUAGGUGCCAGGAUCGUGGAACGACACGUGCUCAACAGUCAGGUUCGGGCGGAGACAGAGUUCUGGUACGAUCCUCUUGCGACGAGCCGGCUUCUGGCCAACAUCCGAUGCUCAGGUCUCCCGCAUGUGCCGCGGGAGAUCGCCCUUGACGGUCUGGA
rnacentral:rRNA from 2 species